rnacentral:rRNA from 1 species
GACGAACGCUGGCGGCGUGCCUAAUACAUGCAAGUCGAACGCAGUGGGGACGGGUGAGUAACACGGGGGUAACCUCCCAUCAGAGGGGAUAACACGUGGAAACAGGUGCUAAACCGAUACUGAUGGAUGGACCCGCGGUGCAUUAGCUAGUUGGUGAGGUAACGGCUCACCAAGGCAACGAUGCAUAGCCGCCCUUAGAGGGAGAUCGGCCACCCUGGGACUGAGACACGGCCCAGACUCCUACGGGAGGCAGCAGUAGGGAAUCUUCGGCAAUUGGCGAAACUCUGAUCCAGCAACGCCGCGUGAGUGAUGAAGGUCUUCGGAUCGUAAAGCUCUUUUGUUAGAGAAGCGGUAUCUACCCAGAAAGCCCCGGCUAACUACGUGCCAGCAGCCGCGGUAAUAC